GUCCACGCCGUAAACGAUGAGUGCUAAGUGUUAGAGGGUUUCCGCCCUUUAGUGCUGAAGUUAACGCAUUAAGCACUCCGCCUGGGGAGUACGGCCGCAAGGCUGAAACUCAAAGGAAUUGACGGGGGCCCGCACAAGUGGUGGAGCAUGUGGUUUAAUUCGAAGCAACGCGAAGAACCUUACCAGGUCUUGACAUCCUCUGACAACCCUAGAGAUAGGGCGUUCCCUUCGGGGACAGAGUGACAGGUGGUGCAUGGUUGUCGU
rnacentral:rRNA from 1 species